rnacentral:tRNA from 1 species
CAGGACAUAGCUAAAAUAUAGCAUUUUCUUUACUCUGAAAAGUUGUCUAAUUAUCUAGGCUGUUCUGA